rnacentral:lncRNA from 1 species
UCAGGAGCAUGGUGUUCCAUUUCGUAUUCAGGCUGAGCAUGAGGCAGUAGAGAGGAAGCUUGAAGCGGCUUGAAUGGCAUGCAUGGUAACAGAGAGUAACUUUUCACUAUAAAAUGCCCUAUAUAACCAUAUACAUUCUUCACUGAAGUUGCAUCCUACUGAAUAACUUACAGUAAAUCCUGUAGAAGGUCGGAAGCCUAACCCAUAAUGAACUAAUAGUGAAAGCACCAGCGGGCUAGUCAGUUUGGGCAUAAACCUAAAAUUGAGUUUCUCUACUUGCAUUAUCUCUUAUCAAAAUAUUAAUCCUGUAGUUUCAGGUGCUAAAGAUACUUGCAAUUAUGGAAGUAGAAAUCAUACUGGUAAACCUAUGAUGCGCCCUUGACUUUCGAUUCUAAGGCCUUGUUUUACCAGGACGGAUUUGAACCUUUCUUUGUUUUUUUUUUUUGACAAUUUUGGAGGUGGGUUCUGGAUGUUUGCUCAUAUGAAAAUAUGAAAUUGAUUUACCAGAUCAACACCAUAUAACAGAAUUUACGCUAUCCGAACUUUAUUCUGGGUUAUUCUAUUGCUUUUAAGUUAUUAAGGUCUGAAAUAUAUAUAUAUUAAAGUAAUUUCUUUAUGUGUGUCAGCUUUUUUAUUUAGGAGCGAAAGUUUAUUGGAGUUAUAUUUACUCAAAUUUUGUCCCAUUAAUAAUGAUAACUACUUAUGACACGUUACUCAGAAAAAAUUAUUUGUUGUUGUUUUUUGCAUGGAGAAAAAUUCAAUGACCCUUUCUUGUAUGACACCUUUAGCACUCAUUCCUAUUCAACAAUGCUCUAUGCAAAGGUAUUCUUGUAUGACACCUUUAGCACUCAUCGAUACCUGCGGUAAAGUACAAAGAAAAUAAAAGAAAAACGGCCCGCAAACUGUUUCAACCACUCAUUCUUGACAGCUGCAGCUUGUCUAGCGCCAACAACAAAGAACUCUGUAAUGACUUCGAGAGGCAUGCCUUUGGUUUCUGGGACUUUCAGGAACACAAAGAUCCAAGAGAUGAAGCACACAAUCGAAUAUAUGCUGAAGACGCUUGCUAAGCGUUUUGAAUUGAUCAUUACAGGCAGAGCGUAUGUCACAAUAAUGUUGCCGACCCAAAAAACCGUGGCACAGAUAGUAAUGCAAAUGCCACACCCUUGUAGGGAAGAUCACAGUGCAGAGGAUAUUUGGAAUUGGCCCAUAUGCCAUGACGAGGCCGCAGAUGUGUGAUACACAAGCUGAUGGCGUUGCUGCAUUUAUAACUGUGCUCAACUUCACUAGUGGGCCAAUAACUAGAAUGAUUAGUGACACUAUUAGUGCAGGAAUUGUCGCAAGUAGCAGCCGCCUGGCAAUGAAGGAUGUGUGAGUUAAAGAGAAAGUAAAAUAUUAUGAGCAAAUGCAUCUUGGGAGACACUGUAUAUGCUAUAUUUAUCUGUUGCUAUUGGGGAAACCAAGGCUCUUGGUCCACCUGAUGGCCACAAGCCUCUGAGAUUUUUUUAGUGAUUUGAUCAAUUAAGAGCUAUUUUGCUUUUGCAUGCAGAUUUUCAAGUACGGGAAUGCAGGAAACUCCAAGAACAAAAAUAGAUAAGCAUAAAAGAAAAAUAGGGGUUGGAGUUUGCUUCUUUUGCUAGUAAAUCAUGGUACCAAUAGAAAAGGCAGCUGUCAAUGCUAAAAUGUGUAAUCUUGCCACUAUUAUUCAUCACAAAUUCUAUUCGCAUGUCUAGAAAAUUUUUUUGGUCAGAUCGAUGCACAUUUCUAAUAAACAUGUCCUGGAUUUUGUUAUGUUUUCCUUUUUCUUAAGCUUUGUUGCAGCUGUCAUGGCAAUUAUUCGGGACCAUUAACUAGUAAUUCAGGUAACUUCAUUGCAACGGCGUGGCAAUUGAGGUGUUUGGUUCAUAUAUUAAAUUAUAUUUUUUGUUAUUAAAGCUGGUCUAAUAUGACUAAAACACAUCUUGAAAUUUUUUAUUUAAAAUUUAUGAGAAUUUAAAAAUUAUUUUAGAAAAUAUUAUAUAUUAAUUUUCAGUUUUAUUUGUUAAUAAAAAAAAUAACAGUAAUAUAAUUAUAUUAUAUAUAUUUGAUGGCUUUUUUUAAUCCUAUUUAUGACUUUUUCUUUUUUACUAUAAAGGGGAUUGUUUAAAAGAGUGAAGCUCGGAAAAUGCAGCCGACCCCUCAUCUCUUAUCCUUAUUAUAUAACAGAAGCUGAUGACUUCGUCGCCUAAUUCUAGGUACGUAAAUUUUGUCAAUCGAAGCGGAAGCCUGCUAUGCUGUUAAUGCUGCUAUCUAUUCUCUUUUGUAUGGUUGUUGUUUUGUUUUGAUUCCUGUCAUAUGUUUUUUAGAUCAAUACCACUGUAUGUGAUUUUUUUUUUUCUUUUUCUUUGUCGGAGUUCUCAUCAUUUUGUUUUUUUUUUUUGUAUUAUUGAGAUGAAAUUGUUAGUUUGAAUCCUGAUAGCUCAAGAGUGCUGUUUAGUUUUUUGCGCACCGGCAGGCUUGUCACUUCUUCUGUUGAAGUUGGCAUAAUGGCUGAUCUAAUGUGGUAGGCUAUGUGGUUUUACACAAGUUAACAUGCAGCACCUGUAGAAGGUAAUCUCUUCACUGGAAAUGUUGAGAACUUAGUUAAUCCAUUUGUUGAUUUGCAUGACUUUGUUCAAUGAGUUUAGUCAAAGAUGCAAAUGGAAGGUUCUUAAAUGAUUUUUUUUUAUUUAGUUGUUGUGGUACAUUAGGUAAUGACUGUAUAGAUUUAUGUUAGAUACAUUUCUUCGACUAUAGUGAAACAGAGAAAACGAACGACCAUUAUUAGUAACUGCUUGGAAUUCAGUUGCUGAUCUAAUUAAUGUUAGCUAUUUACUGAGAGGAUUUUUUUUGUUUUUGUAAUCAAAGAGAAACUUACUUCAUUUAUUGUGACCCAUUUCUUGCUGUCACAUUCAAUUAUAUUCUUUUAGCAUUUUUGAAAUUUUCGAAUUUGCGUUGGUUUUCUUCUUCUUUUUUCUUGUAUUUGUUAUAGGGGCGGAGGGGGACAGAAGAGGGUUUUAUCUCUGCUAUGCUGGUAAGAUUUUUCUUCAUUCUGUUAUUUUUUUUACUCGAGGCUUCUGAAAAUUAAAACCACAAAAAAAAAUUAAGAAAAGAAAAAAAAAAAAAAAACCGAACAAAGAAAAGGGCAAUUAAAUUGCCAGGAAACAAUUUUUCAGGUACCUGGGGUGUGGAAGGAGGGAGCCCAGGGGAAUAAAUUUGCUGGGAUAUACACACGUCAUGCAGAAAAUCAGCACUUUGUUUGGGUGCAGCAGUGAUGGACCUGGGUGCUCUACGCAAGCCCACCAGCACACUCACCAGUGAGCGCGUACAUAAUGCAUUGUGCCCCCGUGCAUUUGCCCCGUCGCUGUUUCAAGCCAUUAUGCCUCAGAUGACAUCAAAAAAGUAAUUUCAACCUCAUCUGAUAUUUUUGUUAUGUAGGACAAAUAAUGUUGAUUUGUUUAAUCAGGGAUUUAGAAAUAAAAUGAGACAUCGCACCUAGAGUUUUUUAAACAUCAUAUUUAAGACGUUUUAAGAAUCACACUUAAGUGUUCGAUUGUAUUAUUUUCUUUAAAUAUCUUUUUCUAACUAGAGAUAGAUUAGAAAAUAAUAAAUUAAUAAAAUUAAAAAUAUUAAUCUUAAUAAAAAUGAGAAAUUAACACUAAUAAUGUUAGAAAUCCUAAUAAGAAUAAAAAUCUCAAGUUACUAAAAUUAAAAUAAUAUUCUUAAAUAAUAAUUAAUUAUAAUUUUUAAUUUUUUAAAUUACGUUUUUUACUCUUCACGCUUGGUGAAUUUUAAAUUAAAGCAUAUGCCCUUUAUAAUUUUAUUCACAUGCGCUGAUGUUGGAAUCAGGUUUCAGGCGUUCUUCAUGUCAAGUCUGAUUUGUUAAUAUUAUGUAAUCAUUGUAUCCGCGUUGGUGGAAGUUAUAUUACUCUGCCCAGUUUUAGUUUUUAUCAUUUUGAUAAUUUUGUUCACAUGUGCUGAUGUUAAAGUUACGUUUCAGGAUUCCUGUGACCUGUCAUAUGAAUGAUAAAGGGCAUAUGCUUGAAGCAGCACAAAAUGUAAGCAGCUUGAAUGACAUGCAUGGUAACAGAGUAAUUUUUCACUAUAAAAUGUUCCAAAUAACCAUAUAUUCUUCAGUGAAGUUGCAUCCUUACUGAACAACUUACAAUAAAUCCCGCAGAAUGUUGGAAGCCUCACCCAUAACGAACUAAUAACGAAAGCACUAGCAGGCUAGUCAGUUCGGGCAUAAACCUAAAUUUGAGUUCCUCUCCUCGCAUUAUCUCUUAUCAAAAGAUUAAACAUGUAGUUUCAGGUUCCUAAGAUACUUGCAAUUAUGGAAGUAGAAACCAUGUUGGUAAACCUAUGAUGUGUCCUUAACUUUUGAUUCUAAGGACCUGUUUUACCAGGAAGGAACUAAACAUUUCUUCUUUUUUUAUGGGUUCUAGAUGUUUGCUAUUGAUUUACCAUAUCAACACUACAUAGCAUAAUUUAUGAUAUCUGAACUUUAUUCUGCAUUGAUCUAUUGCUUAUGAGGUAUUCGUGUCUGAAAUAUAUAUGUUAAAGCAAUUACAUGUCUAGAAAAUUUCUUUGGUCAGAUUGAUGCACAUUUCCACUAAACAUGUCCUGGAUUUUGUUCUGGUUUCCUUUUUCUCAAGCUUUGUUGCAGCUGCCAUGGCAAUUACGCAAGACCAUUCAACUAGUAAUUCAGGUAACCCCGUUGCAACAGUUGUGGUAAUUGAGGUGUUUGCCUCAUAUAUUAAAUUAUGUUUUCUGCUCUUCACACAUGCUGAGAUAUGAAUUUAAGCUGGUCUAAUAAGGCUAAGCGCAUCUUGAAACUAUUAAGCCUUAUCUUCACUGAAAUCUAGUGGAGACUUUUCAUCAAAACUAAUUUUACCAAACUAAUAGAAUUCUCGUCCUAGUUGACAUUAUUUUGGAUUUUUUUUCCCUUUUUUCUUUCCUGAUUUCUUAUUUUCAUCUGUUGUCCUUCGUUGCAUGUUAAUCAUAUGUUCUUUCCCUUCUGCACCUCCCCUAUUCAGCCUGAUCCAAUCAUCCUGUCACCAUAAAGAUUUAAGAUAAACCAAAUGUGAGCAAAAACAUCUUUACCUUUUCUUUUAUUUUUAAAAAUUUUUCUUCCUAAAAAGUUACAAGGAUUAUUGAACUAAACAGAUUAUUGGUCAAACUUUUACAUAUUUCUUCUUAGUUGGUAGGUUUUUCUUUUUUUUUUUUGAAAAAAAAAUAUUACAUAUAGUUUUUUUACUGAUUGAUGAUCAAUCAAUAUUGCCUCUUUAAUGGUUGAAAUUUGCAGUGGGUUACAUAUUUAUCUUUUUGUUCAUGUUCUUUCCUAAUUCGUUAAUUUCUUUGAAAAUAUAUAAUGACUGCAUAUUUUUAGGAUGUAUUACUCUAUAUUUAUGUGAUUUAUUAAUUCGUAUUUUUAUAAUUUUUUACUAUUUAUUUUUAGGAGUGUUUGUUGAUUGUAUAGUAAUUCGAAAGUAUGUAUUUUAUUACAAAAGAAAAAUAAUAUUAACAGAAAAUAAAUAAGAAUUAAUUAAAAAUGUUAUGCAAAUUUAAAUUUUAAAUCAAUGUAAAAAUAUUUGUUUUAUAGGUUUAUUAUUUUAUUUUAUGUAUAUAAGAUAACAAUAUUAGCUAAAAUAAUAUAUUUUAUUAUAAAAAUAGAAUAAUAUUGUCAGAGAACAAGUAUUAUUAAAUAGGAAAAUAUUAGUUAAUUUAUCGUAUAUAGAAUUAUAAAUAUAUUUUAAUUUAUAUAAUAAAAUUUUUAAGAUAAAUAUUGAUAUUUAAUAAGUAUUGUAAUAUUUAAAACAUUUUUAAAAAAUUUGUAGGUAAAUUAAAAUUAAAUUUUAUUUUCAAAUUUAAAAUGUUUAAAUAGGAAAUUUUUAUAAAAAUUAAAAUAUGGUAUUUAUUUUUAAUAAAAUAUUAAUACAUUAAUAUUAUUUUUAUAUUUAAAAUUUUUAAGAAUUUAAAAAUUAUUUUAUAUGUAUUAAUUUUAAGGUUAGUUAAUAAAAUAAAAUAAUAAGAAUAAUAUAAAUAGUUUAUAUCAUAUAUAUUGUACGAGACAGUUUUUAUUUUUUUUUUACGCUGUUUACAGUUUUUUUUUUAACGCUAAAAAAGACUUUAAAAGAGCUGGUUUACAAAAUCCGACCGAGCUCAUCCUCAAACCCGUUUCUGCAUAUGAUAUUCAGAGGCGGUGGACUAAUGAACCCUAAAACUUCAAAUUGAGAAAGUUGUUCAAUCCCAGGUACAUGAAUUUUGUCAACUGAAGCGGAUGACCGCUAUUCUUUUAACGCUGCUGCUAUAUAUUUUCCUUCGUGUUAUUGCUGUUUUGUUUUGAUUUCUGUCAUAUAUUUUCUUGAUCAAGACCCCACAGUAUUUGAGUAUUUUUUUUUCUUUCCCCUUAUUGGAGUUUUUAUUAUUUUGUUUUUUUGUUUUUUUUUGUAUUACAGAUAUGAAAUUGUUAGUUUAAAUUAUGAUGUUAUAUGAUAUAUUUUAUUAUAAAAAUAUUAUUAUUAUUGAGUGAAAAUAAAUUAAAAUGAAAUAAUUAUUAAAAAUAAAUGCUAUAAAAAUUUUAAAAUUGAAUAUUAAUAAAUAAGAAAAUAUUAGUUUUUAUUAGUUAAUUAUCUUAUUUUAUGUGUAUAAAUAAUUAUUUUUUUUUAACCUUUGAUGGUUAUCAUAUUUUCGUAUUCGUGAUUAACUUUAUCAAAUCUCUUUGCUCUUCUCCCAUUCUUUCUCUUUCUCGACCUUCUUUACUGAUACAUGUUGAGGGUACUUUUGCUGAAAAUUUCAAGUUUUCUAACUUCUCUCCUCCUCCUCUUCCUCUUUUCUCUCCUCUAAGAUUUAUUUUUUCAUCUCCUCUUUUGUUAAUCUUUUCUUAUUAGUUAUUUUAACAGGCAAUUUCCAAUGGAAGUCAAGACUGGGAAGAACAAAAUAUUUUGACGGUAUCUGUUUAUGCCUUAUUCUUCAUCACCAAGUUGUUUUGAAUUUUUAAUGCAACCUUAUUAACUAAUAUUGUAGGUUUUUUUUUUGCAAAUUUAUUAUUGAAAGUAGUUGCUACAAAUGUUUUAAUAGUUGGCAUUGAACCAAUAUUAAUAAAAGAAUCAAGAUACUAACCCUUAGAAUCAGUCAAGAAGCUUCUCAACGAGAACUAUACCUGCUUUGAGCUUAUCUUACUAGUAACUUUUUUAAACUCAAAUGUACGUGAGUACUCGUGCAUAACCAUCUUAACCAAGUCGAUCUUAUAUUCUUUUUGUAUUGUAUGUAUAAAUUUGAAGUUUUCAAUGUUACAAAACAGUAUUCUUCGCAAAUUCUAUACGCUAAAGAUGAUUGUGAAAUGGUAAAAUUAGUUUAUAGGUUAGUGGAUGAUGAAUUCUGUCAAACGGAUUGCUUGAAGGAGUCUCAUACUUUUCUCAUUUUAUUUGUGAUGUGUUAUUAUGUAAUUCUUUUAUUUUAGUUACAGAUAAAUAUUUUCUCAAGAGGUUUACCGUUUUAUGAUGUUGUUUUUGCAAGAGUUUUCUGCAAAAGUUCAAGAAGAAAUUAUGAUGAAAUGUAUUUUUUUUUAAUUGUUUUAGCUUAAAGUUGAUGUUUAAUAUCUACUUAAUACUGUUAAAAAAUUGUAUUUUUGCAUAUAUACUCUUUUCUUAAUAGACGUAGGUGAUGAAUUUGAUAUCUCAAUGGUGACAAAAACCAAGAUGAUCAAAGGGGUUUGAUUAAGAUCUAAUUGAAGGUAUGUGUGUCUUUUAUAUGAAAUUGUUUUUUUCUUUUCAUCUUUCUCUCAAGUUUUUUUCGGUCCUAAUAGGUGCUAUUAGGCUGUAAAUAAUCUCUAUAAAUGUGAAUAUUAUAAAUAGAUAAAUAAUAUUUUUUAAAAUAUUUUGAUAACAACUUUUGAUAUAAUUAGAUAAUAACUAUUUUUUCUCAAGUUAUGAUUAAAAAAUUUAUAUUAAUGUUAAGAUUUCUCAUACAUAAGUUUUUCUUAUAAAACUUUAAAUUCUCUAUGAAUUUUUACUUUAGUUUUGAUAAUAUUUAUUUUUGCACAACUCUAAAUAAAUUACAAGAAUAAAAAUUAUCAAGAAAGAAAAGUUUAUUAAUAAUAGCAAUAGAUAUAGGCGUUAGUAUAUUCAUGAAAAUAGUUUAUAUGUUUCUUGGAUCUAGUCUGAUUUGUUAAAAUUUUUCAUCCUCCUUAUAUAAUCUAUCAUGUCCGCAUUGGUAUAAAUUAUAUUACUCUACCCGAUUUUAGAUUUUUCAUUUGAUAAUUUUGUUCACAUGCGCUGAUGUUGGAAUCAGGUUUCAGGUGUUCUGCAUGCCAAGUCUGAUUUGUUAAUAUUUUCUAUCUCAUUAUUUAAUCAUCAUAUCCGCGUUGGUAGAAGUUAUGUUACUCUGCCCAAUUUUAGUUUGUAUCAUUUUGAUAAUUUUAACUCGGUUUGGCCCAGAUCAUUUUGGUUGUUCAUUCUUCGAUGUUGCUUUAGAUGUACAAACUCUAGUUUUCUGUUUAUUUUACAAGAAACUCAUGGAAAAACAAUUGCCCAUAUUGUGCUAUGUUAUAUUCUUCUCAUGAUGGUGGCAGCCUGCAGAUGUUCUGCAGUGGUCUUUCUGAAGAACAGGGCAUUUAAUUUAUUAAAGUAUCAUUAGUUAUGUCAUAAGGUAGAAAUUGUACUUCUCGCUUGUUUGAUCUGAAAAGGAUGUGAAUCAUACCAUUUUAUGUUUUAGGAAAUGUGCAGAAAUUGAAAAGUUGUAACUUGUGACCACUUGGUUUUCUACUUUGUUUCUCUGCUGUUAUAAAGUUGCAAAUGGUCUUGAAGCACACUUGAGAUACUCAUAGCUACAUCUUCUUAAAGCCCAUAUUUGGUUGUCUAGAUGUUUUUCCCCCAGGUAGUAUUGAAAAGAUGAUGGGCACAAUUCUCUAGCUCUGAUGCUAUUUAUUCAGUUUAGUAUGUGUAUUGUGUUGAUUUGGUUUGCCAAUUUUUUCUCUUUCCUGGACGGCACUGUCAUUAGGUAACUUAUUAUAUUUUUUCUUUGUUCCCUUGACCUUAAUCUACAUGCUUGAUUAAUGGCUGCACCAUUUUGUUCAAGUUAUUGUGAAAAAUAUUAAAAUUAUGCCUUGUUAAUUUAAUUGCAUGUUUCCCAGGAUAUUCCUUCCUUAGCUGCUGAUGCUGCAAAAAAGUAUCCCGGUGUAUCAUACAUCAUAACGGCUCCUCUUGGCUUGCACAAGCUCCUUGUGGUAUGAGAUUUUUCUUAUUUUUCUCUCAUGGUAUUUACAUUAAUCCUGCAAGACUUUUGGAGUCAUCACUGUACUUUCAACUUGUGCUUAGCUUUAUUUUUAGCUCUCCUUACCUGAUUGAUAUGUAGAUUAUUCACGAGUACAUGGGAUAUGACAAUACUAUUCAGUUAAUGCUAUUAAAUCAAAUUUUACCCCAUAUAUAUAUAUAUUAUAUAUAUAGGCACUAAAAUUCAUGCCCAGUUAACAGCAUUCUUAACAAAUGUACAAAAGUUUCCGAUUGACUGCAUUCUUAAUUUAAUUAAAACUAAAAUGAAAACUUUCAUCCUUAUUAUUAUUUAUUUUUACCAGCUUCCAAAAAUAUAUCACUCUUUUGCAGUGUUGUUCGCUGGUUUGAUCAAAUAGUUGUGAUCAAAAUUUUUAGUCUAGUUAUAACUACUUUUAAUUGAGAAUGCAAUCAGUUAGGAACUUAUAAACUUUCUUAUUAGGAGUGCAUAUUCCAAUUUCAAGAACACCAUCAAGUAGUAUUUCUAGGUAAUCAGACCUGUGAUUUUAUGAGAUAGACCUUGUCCUACUCGCACGUUGGACUAUGGCUUAUUUUAUCUUUUAAGAGCUCGAGAGAUCAGAAUGUGUCUGAUACCCAUAUGGCUCAUUAAGCAACAGAAGUUUCUGAUUCUCAAGGGAUAGAAUUUGUGAUGCCCUCUAUUUCCCAUUAGUAGUGUGCUAGGAUAGGCUAAAACGAGAUCAAGAAACAGAAGCAGCCAAUAUUUUUUGAGUAACACGGCAUUGAGCGACGCUACUCUGGCCAUGCUAAUUAGUUUUAUGUUUUGCAUUGAUCAUGUCCAUUUGUAAAUAAUUUCUCCAUUUUCUCACUCUCUACAGUUUUAGGUUGCAAGGUUAGUAAUGUGAUAAUUAGUUUCCUCAUUCUUUAUGGGUUUUGAACUGGUUUUUGAAAGUUUGCGUUUAACAGUUCUGUGUAAUUAGAGCAAUUAUUUGUUUUAAUUAUGUUUAAUGGGAUGAUCAAUAUUGUUGCAAGCAGAUCAGAUUCUCUUAUUGUAUUAUCGUUUCGAUAUUAGUUAAUUUGCUGAGUGACAUUCAUGGGACUUCUGUCGAUAAAACUUGAUCAUUUUUCUCAUCCUGGAAGUAUUAUAAUUUUCGUUCAAUUAGCAUAUAGUUUGCUUGCUGGAGAGGUAUGCAAUAUUUAUCUUUUGUGAGAAAGGUUGUCGUUCUUUAUUUUGAAGCCACAUCAGGAAAGUAGAUUUGAUUUUGUUCGUCGGUAAAAUUGCCUUAAUUUAUUUUCUUGCAAGUGAGAGGAAAUUGAUUUGAAAAAUGAUGCAGAGGAGGAGUUCGUGGUUUGUGGGAAGGCCUGUUGUUGGAGACUGGAACUGUCCUUUUUGCUGAGGUUCUUGGCAGAACCCUAACCGGUGAAACUGUACAGAUGCAUGGUGGAGCAGACAACUUGUCUGUGUGGAUUUGCCAGAGAAGGAAUAGAAAUUGAAAGGAAAUUUGGUGGUGCAAAAAAUCUGUAAGUAUUAUUUCUAAGGAUUAAGAGAAUAAAUAAUUUAAAAUUAGAUAACAGUUUAAAGAAUUUUAAUAGAAUAUAUUUGUACAUAUAAAUUUUUUUUAAUAAUACGCGUAUUAUUUAAUAAAUUUUUUAGAAAAAAGAAUUAUUAAAAAUUGUAUUGUAAUUAAGGGUGUUUGUUUUGUUGUGGUUUUUUAUUAUAAUAUUUGUAUUUAAAAAAAAUAUUUUUGUAGUUGGGUGAGUAAAAUAUAAAAUGUUUUUGAUAAUAGUUAAAUUGAAAAUUUAUUUUUUUAUAAAUUUAAAAUAAAAAAUUACAAAAGUUACAUGAAUUUUUAUUAAGAAUAAAUGUUAUUAUUAUUGUAUAAAUAAUAACAUAUUUUCACAAUUAUUUAUAAAAUUAUUUUUAAUGGAAAACUCAGUAAGGCAGUAAAAAAAAUAUUUAUCUUUUUAAUUUUCUCUCUCUGCCGCUCCUCAUCUUCGGUCUCUGGGUUUCCUUUUUUCUGCCCCUGAGGUUCCGCGUGUUUAUAAAGCACAGAGGUUGCGUCACGGAGACGCACCUCAGCUCCUCUAUAAAAGGGCUGAGACUCUCUUUCCUCCUUACGCAUCUGCUGUCUCCUGAUCCGGUAAGGUUUUCUUCUGAUUGCCCAUUAGAUCUGGUCCCGCUCCGAUCUUCUAGAGAUUGGAGGCGGUCUUCAUUCUCUCUGAACGGAAGAGUGCAUAAAAUAGGGCUCUUCUGCUUCCGAGUCUUCUCUCUUGUGGCGAUUUAGAGGUUGCGUCACGGAGACGCAGCUCAGCUCCUCUAUAAAAGCGCUGAGACUCUCUUCCCUCCUUCCGCCUCUGCCGUCUCCUGAUCCGGUAAGGUUUUGUUUUCGAUUGCCCAUUAGAUCUGGUCCCGCUCCGAUCUUCUAGAGAUUGGAGGCGGUCUUCAUUCUCUCUGAACAGAAGAGUGCAGAAAAUAGGGCUCUUCUACUUCUGAGUCUUCUCUUUCGCGGCGAUUUAGAGGUUGCGUCGCGGAGAGGCAGCUCAGCUCCUCUAUAAAAGCGCUGAGACUCUCUUUCCUCCUUCCGCCUCUUCUGUCUCCUGAUCCGGUAAGGUUUUCUUUCGAUUGCCCAUUAGAUCUGGUCCCGCUCCGAUCUUCUAGAGAUUGGAGGCGGUCUUCGUUCUCUCUGAAGGGAAGAGUGCAGAAAAUGGGGCUCUUCUACUUCCGAGUCUUCUCUCUUGCGGCGAUUUAGAGGUUGCGUCACGGAGACGCAGCUCAGCUCCUCUAUAAAAGCGCUGAGACUCUCUUUCCUCCUUCCGCCUCUGCCGUAUCCUGAUCCGGUAAGGUUUUCUUUUUGAUUGCCCAUCGGAUCUGGUCCCGCUCCGAUCUUCUAGAGAUUGAGGCGGUCUUCAUUCUCUCUGAACGGAAGAGUGCAGAAAAAGGGGCUCUUCUACUUCUGAGUCUUCUCUCUUGUGGCGAUUUAAAGGUUGCGUCACGGAGACGCACCUCAGCUCCUCUAUAAAAGCGCUGAGACUCUCUUUCCUCCUUCCGCCUCUGCCGUCUCCUGAUCCGGCCGAAAAUGCUAAAUUACCCUCAUCCUGCUGUAUAAUUGUCUCAGGAUUGCUCUGUUGGGCUCUUAUAAAGCAAUGGAUCCAAAUGUUGCACGAGCUGUUGAGUAAUUUCCAACUGGUUUUGGUGAUUUGCUUUUAUUAGUUGAGAUAAAAAAAUAAAACGAAUUAUUAAUUAUUAAUUUGGUUUCGGCAUUUAUAAAAAAAAAAAGUUUGUAUUUGAAAAAUAUUUUUGUAGUUAGACGAGCAAAGAAGAAAAAUGUUUUUGAUAAUAGUUAAAUUCAAAAUUUAAAAUAAAAAAUCACACUCAAUACAUCUUGGUGCUGGAUUCAAAUAUUUUCUUUCGAAAAAAGAAACUUACGUACGUGUAUUAAUAUCGGUGCCUGUGCGCAUUUACAAAAUUUUUACGAGUCUGCUAGAUUCAAAUAAUGUAUCGUUCUUGUUUCUCUCACGCUUUUUGGUUGUAUUUGAGCAAUAAUUUGUCAGAGGCAGCAAGCCAGAUCUGGAAAUAUGGCAAGUUUUUAGAAAUUGGUGCUGCGCGUUUAAUCAUCUUUAACCAACAAGAUCUUAUGCUGGUUUUCAGGUAAUUCUCUUUUGUUUCGCUCCCUUUCAAUCUUCUUUAAGAUCUCAGAAUGGAAGUCCCCAGCUUCCUAUCUCUUAGUCUCCUCUUAAACCUGAAGGUCAUUAUUUUUGGCCCGUCCAACAGUUAUGUUGCAGUCAAGAGAAAGGUUUCCAGGAUAUGCUUGAGAUGCUUGCCUCGUACAAGGAGGGGGUGUGUACCAUGUGGGAACCGUGUUCCCAUAAUCUUGAUUCUGUCCGGUUCCAUCCAAAGUGCAUAAAGAAACCUAGUUCCCACGCUGGAAACUGAUAACAGUGCUCGGUAUUUUAUGUUUAUUACCAGUUAUUGUUAAUUUAUUGCGCGACUUUCAUGGGAGUUGUAUCAAUAUGUCUUGAUCCCUUUUCUUGUUCUUUGAUUUACCGGGACCAUAUUCUGAAAAUAUUGUAAUCGUCGCUCGGUAAGGGUAUGGAUUGCUGGUUCAAGAGGUUUGCAAUAUCUAUUUACACUCGUAUCACUUGGUGCUGGAUUCAUAUGUUUUUCUUCUGUAUUAAAAAGUUACGUAUGUGUAUUAAUAUUGGUACCGAGGGGGCACUGCGCACUUACAAAAUUUUUACAAGUCCGCUGGAUUAAAAUAAUGUGACGUGCUUUGUUCCUCUCGGCGCUUUUUGCUUGUAUUUGAGCAAUCAUUUGUUAGAGGCAGCCAGGCCAGAUCUGAAAAUAUGGCAAGUUUUUAGAAAUUGAUGCUGCGCCUUUUAGUUGCCAACACGUUCUUAUGUUGGUUUUCAGGUAAUUCUCUUUUGUUUCACUCCCUUUUAUUCGUCUUUAAGAUCUCGGAAUGGAAGUCCUCAGCUUCCUUGUCCCCCGCAUCUUUGAGUCUCAUCUUAAAGCUGAAGGUCAUUAUUUUUGGCCUGUCCAGCAGUUUUGUUGUGGUUGAGAGAAAGGUUUAAAGGAUGCAUGAGAUGCUUGCCUCGUACAAGGGUGUCUAUUAUGUGGGAACCGUGUUCCCAAAAUCUUGAUUCCGUCUGGUCCAUAGUCCCUGCAAAGUCAUUCCAUCCAAAGUGCAUAAAGAAACAUAGUUCCCACGUUGGAAACUAAUAGUGUUGUUCCUUUCGACUUUUGUUACCAGUUUAUUUUUUGUUUGAUGUUCGCGGGAGUUGUAUCAGUAUGUCUUGAUCCCUUUUCUUGUUUUUUGAUUUACAGGGACCAUAUUCUGACAAUAUUAUAACGCUCGCUCGGUAAGGGUGUGGAUUGCUGGUUCGAGAGGUACGCGACAUCUCUAUUUACACUCGUAUCACUUGGUGCUGGAUUCAAAUAUUUCUCUUUGGAAGUAAAAGUUACGUAUUUUUUUAAUGUUGGUACCAAAGGGGUACUGCUGCGCAUUACAAAAAUUUCUACAAGUCUGCUAGAUUCAAAUAAUAUUUCUCUCACGCUUUUUGGUUGUAUUUGAGCAAUAAUUUGUCAGAGGCGGCAGGCCAGAUCGGGAAAUAUGGCAACUUUUUAGAAAUUGAUGCUGCGCGUUUACUUUACCAACAAGUUCUUAUGUUGGUUUUCAGGUAAUUCUCUUCCGCCCCGCUCCCUUUUAAUCAUCUUUAAUAUCUCAGCAUGGAAGUCCUCAGCUUCCUUGCCCCCCGGGCCCCACUUCUUUUAGUCUGCUCUUAAAGCUGGAGGUCAUUUUUUUUUGACGUUUGUUGUAGUCAAGAGAAAGGUUUCUAGGAUGCAUGAGAUGCUUGCCUCGUACUAGGGUGUCUUUUAUGUGGGAACCAUGUUCCCGUAAUCUUGGUUCUGUCUAUGGUUCGUAGUCCCAUAUGAACGAGGAUGCUGUGUUCUCGGGAUUUUUAUCUGAUGCGAGAAAGGUCGUCAUUCUUUAUUUCGAAGCCACAUUAGAUUGAUUUUGUGUCCCGGUAAAAGUGCCCUACUUUAUUUUAUUGAAAGUGAGAGUAAAUUGAUUUAUUGUUUCAAAAUAAAUUUGCGUCCGUGUUUAAUGGAAAAUUUUACGAUUUCUUCGGAGAAAGUAGAAUUCCCCAUGUCCUUCGGGUAGUUGGAACUUAAAAAGAAUGUGCUUGGAUCUUCUAACAGCAAGUAAAUAUUUUUGGGCAUUGUUUUAAGGUUCUUGCUUCCUUUGGUAGAAAAUAAUUUUUUAUGGUGUUCCGGUCCUGAAUUAUUGCUCAGAAACUGAAAGCAUGUUUUGUAAAUCUUUUAAAAAAUAAAUGAGCUUGAUGAACAAGAAAAUUUCCCAUUCUUGAGAAAACAAAAAAUGUUCCCUGGUCCCCCGGGUAGCACCAACUGUGAGAAAAUGUGUCUUGAGCAUUUUGAUUCCUAGUAAAUAUGUUUAUGUGUGUCGCUUCGGCAGUGAAAGCUAUCGUGAUGGGCACCCUUUCUCUCUUAGACGUUGCAAUUGGAUUUUCUAGUAUUUGAUAACCAUUUACAAAAGAUAUGUAUGCUCGGUUUUUGGAACUUUCAGAUGUAGUUUAUUGGAGAAAUGUUGUUGGUAUGUGUUUUGAAGCUUCAUUCAUGAAAUAUAGUUGGUGAAGGAUCAUUGUGGGCCGGGUCUCUUGAGUAGAAAACAUUAUUUCUGCAGCCCUUGCAUGCACGAUGAAUGUUUUAUCUGAGAUUCUCGGUCCAAAAUGUAAGAGCUUCAAUUCCAUAUUAACUACAUUUCAGUCCCAAAAUACUAGGGAAGCCAAUAUUUCAUUUUGAAAGUUAAAGGGUGUUGAUGUGUGUUUUGAAGCUUCAUACAUGAAAUAUAGCCGGUGAAGGAUCACUGUUGGCCGGGUCUCUUGAGUAGAAAACAGUAUUUGUGCAGCCCCUGCAUUCACAAUGAAUGUUUUAUUUGAGAUUCUCGGUCCAAAAUGUAAGAGCUUCAAUUCCAUAGUAACUACCUUUUCAGUCCCAAAAUACCAGGAAAGCCAAUAUUUCAUUUUGAAAGUUAAAGGUUGCUGAUGUGUGUUUUGAAGCUUCAUUUAUGAAAUAUAGUUGGUGAAGGAUCAUUAUUGGCCGGGUCUCUUGAGUAGAAAACAUUAUUUCUGCAGCCCGUGCAUUCGAAAUGAAUGCUCUAUUUGAGAUUCUCGGUCCAAAAUGUAAGAGCUUCAAUUCCAUAUUAACUUACUUUCAGGCCACAAAAAUCUAGGACAGGCAAUAUUUCAUUUUGAACGUUAAAGGUUGUUGCUGUGUGUUUUGAAGCUUCAUUUAUGAAAUAUAGUUGGUGAAGGAUCAAAAUUGGCCGGGUCUCUUUGAGUAGAAAACAUUAUUUGUGCAGCCCUUGCAUUCACAAUGAAUGUUUUAUUUGAGAUUCUGGGUCCAAAAUGUAAGAGGUUCAAUUCCAUAUUAACUACCCUUUAGUCCUAGGAAAGGCAAUAUUUCAUUUUGAAAGUGGAAGUUUUUGUCGAUAUUUCAAAACAAACUUAUGUGCCUCGGUGCAUGAGAACGUGAAUCUUGAUUUUUUGUGGCAAAAUGAAACUGCUUGCAACCCUCAAGAUGUACAGCCUCAAAAAGAUGUGGCUUAAAAUCUCAAGCCAAAGUUUGGGUGCGUCGGUUUGAAAGUGAGAGUUUCUUUGAUCACGCACUUUCUUUUGGAGAGUUAGGCGACGUUUCACUUAGUGGUGGCAAUAUGCUCUCCCAAUCUAUUUUUAGCGCGGACAGAAAAAGUUUCGUGCUAGGUUAUGGGAAUCGUCAUUAUACGUGGAAGAGGUUGCCGUUCUUUAUUUUGAAGCCACAUCGAUAAUCUAGUUGCAGCGUUUUUCCUCUGUAGAGGUGCCCCGAUUCGAUAUUUUGAAACCGACACUGUAUUUACUGAUUCUUUUAAAAUAAGUGUGCCCCUCGGUAUUCAAGCAGAAGUUUCUCUGUUUUUUGGGGAAGAGUAAAAUUGCUCUGUUCUCUUGGUUGGUUGGAACAUAGAAAGCAAUAUGUUUGGAUCUUUUGAUUGCAAGUAAAUAUUUUUUCGGCACGUGGUUUUAAAGCUUUUUGGCUUUUGUUAAAGAAUAGUUUUUUUAAAAAAAUAUAUAUACAAAAGAAUAGUUUCCUGUUUUGGAAGUUUCCUGGUUUGGGAAGUAAAUGAGACUCAAUUUAUACUUUAAAACCUAAAAGCUGUUUUUAUGCAUUAUUUAUGGAUAAAUGUGUGACUUGAUGCACAAGAAAAUGAAUUUUGAUUUCUUGGGGCAAUGUAAAUCUGCUUGGGUCUCUCUCGCAGUUCCAAGUUUUAGAAAAACUUGCAUUGACAAAGAUUUGAGGAUAUUGUGACAGCACCACUUCUGACACGGUAACUUGCUUUCAAUAUUUAGUUUACGUAAGGCAUACGAGAUGUGUUUUGAAGGUUUUGAAACCCAUGGUCUGUUGCUGCGAAAAUAUAUCAUUCGGAGUCCCGUAUUCAGAAAGUAAAAGGCCUCGAUUAAUCUUUUCGAAAGCUAGCCUGUCCAUUUAUUUUUUGAAAACGAUUUUUUUUGUUGGUCCCCUGAGCAAAUGUUCCUCAAUUUUUUGGGGCAAUGUGAGAUUUUGCAAAAUGUCCCUUGGAUAAUUCUUUCUCUAGCAAAAUGUCCCUUGAUCUUUUAGUUGGAAGUAACUAUUCUUUGCUAUGUUGGUUUAAUUAAAGUUUCUCUUGAUCUUUUGCUUUCGAAAUAAAUCUGCAGGUGUCCCCACAGGGAAAUUGUAGCAGUUGGAAAAGUAAGUGGAGGUCAAGUAAUUUUUUUAGAAACUGAAGGCGUGUUCUAUCGAUUAUUUUGAAAGAUAAGUGUGCCUUGGUGCAAAAGAAAAUGACUUUGGAUUUGCUGCAGCAAAGCAAAACUUUUUUGAUGCCCUGGGUUUUCGGAACUCUAAAAGUUGUGGUUUGGACUCUUGAUUCAAAGUAAGUGUUUUUGAGAAUACGUUGGUUUAAAGGAAAAGUAACUCUGAUAACAAACACCCUUUCUCUUGGAGAGUUGGCAGCCUUUCUCUACGUAACUGGCAGUGUGCUUUCUCAAUCAUUUUAUUGCUACGGGCGUAAGACAUGAUUGCUCGGUUAAAGGAGAUAUUCAUUUUAUUUGAGAAAGGCCUUCGUUCUUGAUUUGGGAGCCAAUUUAAUGAACUUCAGUAAAAGUGGGCGAAUUCAUUGACUCGCAAAUGAGAGUGCUUUGGUUUAUUGUUUCAAAAUAAAUGUACUUUGACUCCUAGGCAACGGUUUUUUAAAUUUCUCGGGAAAAAGUAAAAUUCAACCCGUCGCUCGGCCAGUUGGAGCUCAAAAAAAGCAUGCAUGUAUGCUGAAUUUGUCUUGGUUCUAAUCAUUGUUCUAAUGUAGGUCUUCAAAAAAUUGACCGAGAAAACUAUUUGAGAGAACCAAACCUUCGAAGUCUAUCGGACCCAAAGUGUAGUAGUCUAACCAAACUUCAGACCUUGUGGGAUCUUUUCUCUGUUUUCCUUUUUUUUUUUAAAGCAAUAUCUGUGGUUAAAAGAGAUUGGUACGUUUAACAUGCAAGGCAACUACGGAGCCUGGCGUAACCGCGUCAAUAUUAUGUUGCUGACUUUUCUUUGCUGUAGGUACUUAGUGGGAAACUUGUUUAAGCGGAAAGAACGGAGUUUGUUCCAGUGGCUAUCUACACAAACAACGUGUGCUACGCGGAAUGUGAGUAUUAUGUUACCCUGGAUUGUCUUGAAAAUAUUUCUCUCGCUUUUACUUUGUUUAAGAAACAUUUGUAGUUGUACAAAAUUAACGUUUAGAACAUGCGAGACGGUUAAAAAGCUACAGAUAACAGGGUAUGCUCAUUUUGCCAGCCUUUCCUUGGUGCAGCAAAUUGGAGCGAGGGUGAAGCCUUCCUAAGUGUAGAGCUACAGAUUGAAGGUUUUUGGACCCUACUUUAUUUAAUUUAAUAGUGGAACUUAUCCUUCUUGGAAAAUAGUAAAAGAGGCAAUCGGACCUGCUUUGUUGUUGUUUACUAGAGACGUGUUACUGAAAGGAACAAAUGAGGUUUCUUCCCAUUGCUGGUUGUGCAGGUGACGAGUGCGGCUGCGUGGCUUCUGAGUGUGAUUUUACUCCGUGUACAUUAUCAGGGAAUGGAGUUUUUACUCUUACCGAGUUUUAUUUUAUAGGGUUGUCGUCCCCGUAUUUGUAUCUGCAAUUUGUGUAGUGUUGGAACGGAAGUUUAUGGCUUGAACUUCCAUUUUGGUGGAUAUUCAACUUGGGAAAUAAGUCAUUUAGCGUGGUCCAGUUCCAGUGGAGUUCAUAGCAACCAUGUUGGCUCUUAACAAGCGGACUGAUCCGUUGAAUUACUUGCAAAUUUUGUGCUUGACUAGGGAUCUUUUGUUGAUAAAUAGAUCUUCCUAAGUGUUGGUUUGUAGUUAAUUUGAUUUUUUACCCACAAGUAGUCUUGUUCUUUUUAUCUUCGGUAUUAAACCCCUUGUUUCCUUGGAGAAGCAGCUGUUUUUGUUUCUAUUCGUGUCGUUUUGUUUACUUAGGCUCCUGUACAGUUUGCAAUUUUUUUUUGGGGCUUCAAAUGAUGAUCCAAUGUAGUGGUAAUUCGUACUGUUUCUGUUGCAAAAUGAGGAGUCAGUAUUCUGCAUAUUAGCAAAUGAUUAUUUAUACUUUGUGAUGCUCUUGGAAGUCCUUUAACCAUGGCUUGAUCCUUGUUCGUGUCUCUCUGAUUUGUGGGCGCGGCUAAAUGAUAUCCUUGGUGCAGGUGAAGUUUGUGAUUGUUAUUUGAAGAGGUACCCAAUAUCUGGCCAUUCUUCGCUGUUGUUUUCUUUCUUGCUACAUGUCAUUUUCACAGGUGCAGCUAUUUUUAUUCCAUAUUCGUCUUAUUGUUGGGCAGUGAUGCGGAGAUUGUGGCGGGGGAAGUGAUGCGGAGGGUAAAGAGAAGGAAGCUGAGAAGGUUGGUGUGGAAUAUCAUCAUCAGCCAAAACCAGGUGAUUUUGUGGUUUCUGGCAACGAAAAUAAGCUCGGUGUGAAUAUUGGAUCAGAAUUGUUGGGCACCAGGUUGACAAAGGGGGUUCUGCCCCAGGGAGAUGUGAUUUGAAAAAUGAUGCAGAGGAGGAGUUCGUGGUUUGUGGGAAGAUGAGAAUUGUCAAGGACUGGGAAGGCCAGUUGUGGAGACUGGGAACUGUCCUUUUUGCUGAGGUUCUUGGCAGAACCCUAACCGGUGAAGCUGUACAGGUGCUUGGUGGAGCAGACAACUCGCCACGCACCCGUCUGUGUGGAUUUGUCAGAGAAGGAAUAGAAAUUGAAAGGAAAAUUUGUAAGUAUUAUUUACGAGGAUUAAGAGAAUAAAUAAUUUAAAAUUAGAUAACAGUUUAAAAAAUUUUAAUAGAAUAUAUUUGUAGAUAUAAAUUUUUUUUAAUAAUACGCGUAUUAUUUAAUAAAUUUUUUAGAAAAAAGAAUUAUUAAAAAUUGUAUUGUAAUUAAGAGUGUUUAUUUUAUUGUGGUUUUUUAUUAUAAUAUUUGUAUUUAGAAAAAAUAUUUUUGUCGUUGGGUGAGUAAAAUAUAAAAUGUUUUUGAUAAUAGUUAAAUUGAAAAUUUAUUUUUUUAUAAAUUUAAAAUAAAAAAUUACAAAAGUAACAUGAAUUUUUAUUAAAAAUAAAUGUUAUUAUUAUUGUAUAAAUAAUAACAUAUUUUCACAAUUAUUUAUAAAAAUAUUUUUAAUGGAAAACUCAGUAAGGCAAUAAAAAAAAUAUUAUCUUUUUAAUUUUCUCUCUCUGCCGCUCUUCAUCUUCGGUCUCUGGUUUUCCUUUUUUCUACCCGAGGUUCCGCGUGUUUAUAAAGCACGUAGGUUGCGUCGCGGAGACGCAGCUCAGCUCCUCUAUAAAAGUGCUGAGACUUUCUUUCCUCCUUCCGCCUCUGCUGUCUCCUGAUCCGGUAAGGUUUUCUUCUGAUUGCCCAUUAGAUCUGGUCCCGCUCCGAUCUUCUAGAGAUUGGAGGCGGUCUUCAUUCUCUCUGAACGGAAGAGUGCAGAAAAUAGGGCUCUUCUGCUUCCGAGUCUUCUCUCUUGUGGCGAUUUAGAGGUUGCGUCACGGAGACGCAGCUCAGCUCCUCUAUAAAAGCGCUGAGACUCUCUUUCCUCCUUCCGCCUCUGCCGUCUCCUGAUCCGGUAAGGUUUUCUUUUUGAUUGCCCAUUAGAUCUGGUCCCGCUCCGAUCUUCUAGAGAUUGGAGGCGGUCUUCAUUCUCUCUGAACAGAAGAGUGCAGAAAAUAGGGCUCUUCUACUUCGGAGUCUUCUCUUUUGCGGCGAUUUAGAGGUUGCGUCGCGGAGAGGCAGCUCAGCUCCUCUAUAAAAGCGCUGAGACUCUCUUUCCCCCUUCCGCCUCUUCUGUCUCCUGAUCCGGUAAGGUUUUCUUUCGAUUGCCCAUUAGAUCUGGUCCCGCUCCGAUCUUCUAGAGAUUGGAGGCGGUCUUCAUUUUUUCUGAACGGAAGAGUGCAGAAAUUGGGGCUCUUCUACUUCCGAGUCUUCUCUCUUGCGGCGAUUUAGAGGUUGCGUCACGGAGACGCAGCUCAGCUCCUCUAUAAAAGCGCUGAGACUCUCUUUCCUCCUUCCGCCUCUGCCGUCUCCUGAUCCGCUAAGGUUUUCUUUUUGAUUGCCCAUUAGAUCUGGUCCCGCUCCGAUCUUCUAGAGAUUGGAGGCGGUCUUCAUUCUCUCUGAACGGAAGAGUGCAGAAAAUAGGGCUCUUCUACUUCCGAGUCUUCUCUCUUGCGGCGAUUUAGAGGUUGCGUCACGGAGACGCAGCUCAGCUCCUCUAUAAAAGCGCUGAGACUCUCUUUCCUCCUUCCGCCUCUGCCGUCUCCUGAUCCGCUAAGGUUUUCUUUUUGAUUGCCCAUUAGAUCUGGUCCCGCUCCGAUCUUCUAGAGAUUGGAGGCGGUCUUCAUUCUCUCUGAACGGAAGAGUGCAGAAAAUGGGGCUCUUCUACUCCUGAGUCUUCUCUCUUGUGGCGAUUUAGGGUUUUCCUCAGCUUCUUCUAGGUUCUAAUCGGUGAAGAGAGACGGAAGAACAGAGUUGAAGAGGGUAGGUGAAAGGAAGAGACAAUAAUUUGUAAGAGGUAUGUAUGUGUUAAUUUCUCUUAUGGAUUUGUGAGGAAUGUAUGCCUAAACGAUAAAGAGUUCCACCCGGAAAGUUUUCUGUGUUGUUCACAGUUUUGUCACCGAAGCACUAAAAUAUUUUACAAAGAGGAAAAACUCUCUCAGUGUUACGUUUAUUACCCGUUAUUGUUGAUUUACUGUGCGAUGUUCGUGGGAGCUGUAUCGAUGUGUCUUGAUCCCUCUUGUUUUUCCCUGAUUUACAGGGACCACAGUCUGACAAUAUUGUAAUCCUCGUUGAGUAAGGGUAUGGAUUGCUGGUUCAAGAGGGUAUGCAAUAUCUGUUUACACUCACACCUCUUGGUGCGGGUUCAAGAGGUAUGCUUGCCUCGAACAUGUGGUUGAACGGUAUCUUGGCCCAUUUUGAUGCUUUGAAAUGUUUAAUUUAAAUUUUACUACAUCCCUUCAGGGGUCAUAAAAUGAAGGGUAAAUGCAAAAAUAAAACCAAAUAUAAGGUGGAGGUUUUUAGAUUUUCGACUGAAUCACAAUUGAGUUGUUGGGUUUAACAAAAUUAUAAUUCAAUUUAGCCAAGUGUGAUCGGCUGAAAAUGCUAAAUUACCCUCAGCCUGCUGUGUAAUUGUUUCAGUAUUACUCUGUUGGGCUCUUAUAAAGCAAUGGAUCCAAAUGUUGCACGAGCUGUUGAGUAAUUUCCAACUGGUUUUGGUGAUUCGCUUUUAUUAGUUGAGAUAAAAAAAUAAAACGAAUUAUUAAUUAUUAAUUUGGUUUCGGCAUUAUAAAAAAAAAUUGUAUUUGAAAAAUAUUUUUGUAGUUAGAUGAGCAAAAAAGAAAAAUGUUUUUGAUAAUAGUUAAAUUCAAAAUUUAAAAUAAAAAAUUACACUCAAUACAUUUUUACGGGUCUGCUAGAUUCAAAUAAUGUAUCGUUCUUAUUUCUCUCACGCUUUUUGGUUGUAUUUGAGCAAUAAUUUGUCAGAGGCAGCAAGCCAGAUCUGGAAAUAUGGCAAGUUUUUAGAAAUUGGUGCUGCGCGUUUAGUCAUCUUUAACCAACAAGUUCUUAUGCUGGUUUUCAGGUAAUUCUCUUUUGUUUCGCUCCCUUUCAAUCUUCUUUAAGAUCUCAGAAUGGAAGUCCCCAGCUUCCUAUCUCUUAGUCUCCUCUUAAACCUGAAGGUCAUUAUUUUUGGCCCGUCCAACAGUUCUGUUGCAGUCAAGAGAAAGGUUUCCAGGAUGCUUGAGAUGCUUGCCUCGUACAAGGGGGGGUGUACCAUGUGGGAACCGUGUUCCCAUAAUCUUGAUUCUGUCCGGUUCCAUCCAAAGUGCAUAAAGAAACCUAGUUCCCUCGCUGGAAACUGAUAAUAGUGCUCGGUAUUUUAUGUUUAUUACCAGUUAUUGUUAAUUUAUUGCGUGACUUUCAUGGGAGUUGUAUCAAUAUGUCUUGAUCCCUUUUCUUGUUCUUUGAUUUACCGGGACCAUAUUCUGAAAAUAUUGUAAUCGUCGCUCGGUAAGGGUAUGGAUUGCUGGUUCAAGAGGUUUGCAAUAUCUAUUUUCACUCGUAUCACUUGGUGCUGGAUUCAUAUGUUUUUCUUCUGUAUUAAAAAGUUACGUAUGUGUAUUAAUAUUGGUACCGAGGGGGCACUGCGCACUUACAAAAUUUUUACAAGUCGGCUGGAUUAAAAUAAUGUGACGUGCUUUGUUCGUCUCGGCGCUUUUUGCUUGUAUUUGAGCAAUCAUUUGUUAGAAGCAGCAGGCCAGAUCUGAAAAUAUGGCAAGUUUUUAGAAAUUGAUGCUGCGCCUUUUAGUUGCCAACACGUUCUUAUGUUGGUUUUCAGGUAAUUCUCUUUUGUUUCACUCCCUUUUAUUCGUCUUUAAGAUCUCGGAAUGGAAGUCCUCAGCUUCCUUGUCCCCCGCAUCUUUGAGUCUCAUCUUAAAGCUGAAGGUCAUUAUUUUUGGCCUGUCCAGCAGUUUUGUUGUGGUUGAGAGAAAGGUUUAAAGGAUGCAUGAGAUGCUUGCCUCGUACAAGGGUGUCUAUUAUGUGGGAACCGUGUUCCCAAAAUCUUGAUUCCGUCUGGUCCAUAGUCCCUGCAAAGUCAUUCCAUCCAAAGUGCAUAAAGAAACAUAGUUCCCACGUUGGAAACUAAUAGUGUUGUUCCGUACGACGUUUGUUACCAGUUUAUUUUUUGUUUGAUGUUCGCGGGAGUUGUAUCAGUAUGUCUUGAUCCCUUCUCUUGUUUUUUGAUUUACAGGGACCAUAUUCUGACAAUAUUAUAACGCUCGCUCGGUAAGGGUGUGGAUUGCUGGUUCGAGAGGUACGCGACAUCUCUAUUUACACUCGUAUCACUUGGUGCUGGAUUCAAAUAUUUCUCUUUGGAAGUAAAAGUUACGUAUUUGUUUAAUGUUGGUACCAAAGGGGUACUGCUGCGCAUUACAAAAAUUUCUACAAGUCUGCUAGAUUCAAAUAAUAUUUCUCUCACGCUUUUUGGUUGUAUUUGAGCAAUAAUUUGUCAGAGGCGGCAGGCCAGCCAGAUCGGGAAAUAUGGCAACUUUUUAGAAAUUGAUGCUGCGCGUUUACUUUACCAACAAGUUCUUAUGUUGGUUUUCAGGUAAUUCUCUUCCGCCCCGCUCCCUUUUAAUCAUCUUUAAUAUCUCAGCAUGGAAGUCCUCAGCUUCCUUGCCCCCCGGGCCCCACUUCUUUUAGUCUGCUCUUAAAGCUGGAGGUCAUUUUUUUUUGACGUUUGUUGUAGUCAAGAGAAAGGUUUCUAGGAUGCAUGAGAUGCUUGCCUCGUACUAGGGUGUCUUUUAUGUGGGAACCAUGUUCCCGUAAUCUUGGUUCUGUCUAUGGUUCGUAGUCCCAUAUGAACGAGGAUGCUGUGUUCUCGGGAUUUUUAUCUGAUGCGAGAAAGGUCGUCAUUCUUUAUUUCGAAGCCACAUUAGAUUGAUUUUGUGUCCCGGUAAAAGUGCCCUACUUUAUUUUAUUGAAAGUGAGAGUAAAUUGAUUUAUUGUUUCAAAAUAAAUUUGCGUCCGUGUUUAAUGGAAAAUUUUACGAUUUCUUCGGAGAAAGUAGAAUUCCCCAUGUCCUUCGGGUAGUUGGAACUUAAAAAGAAUGUGCUUGGAUCUUCUAACAGCAAGUAAAUAUUUUUGGGCAUUGUUUUAAGGUUCUUGCUUCCUUUGGUAGAAAAUAAUUUUUUAUGGUGUUCCGGUCCUGAAUUAUUGCUCAGAAACUGAAAGCAUGUUUUGUAAAUCUUUUAAAAAAUAAAUGCGCCUGAUGAACAAGAAAAUUUCCCAUUCUUGAGAAAACAAAAAAUGUUCCCUGUUCCCCCGGGUAGCACCAACUGUGAGAAAAUGUGUCUUGAGCAUUUUGAUUCCUAGUAAAUAUGUUUAUGUGUGUCGCUUCGGCAGUGAAAGCUAUCGUGAUGGGCACCCUAUCUCUCUUAGACGUUGCAAUUGGAUUUUCUAGUAUUUGAUAACCAUUUUACAAAAGAUAUGUAUGCUCGGUUUUGGGAACUUUCAGAUUUAGUUUAUUGGAGAAAUGUUGUUGGUAUGUGUUUUGAAGCUUCAUUCAUGAAAUAUAGUUGGUGAAGGAUCAUUGUGGGCCGGGUCUCUUGAGUAGAAAACAUUAUUUCUGCAGCCCUUGCAUGCACAAUGAAUGUUUUAUCUGAGAUUCUCGGUCCAAAAUGUAAGAGCUUCAAUUCCAUAUUAACUACAUUUCAGUCCCAAAAUACUAGGGAAGCCAAUAUUUCAUUUUGAAAGUUAAAGGGUGUUGAUAUGUGUUUUGAAGCUUCAUUCAUGAAAUAUAGCCGGUGAAGGAUCACUGUUGGCCGGGUCUCUUGAGUAGAAAACAGUAUUUGUGCAGCCCCUGCAUUCACAAUGAAUGUUUUAUUUGAGAUUCUCGGUCCAAAAUGUAAGAGCUUCAAUUCCAUAUUAACUACCUUUUCAGUCCCAAAAUACCAGGAAAGCCAAAAUUUCAUUUUGAAUGUUAAAGGUUGCUGAUAUGUGUUUUGAAGCUUCAUUUAUGAAAUAUAGUUGGUGAAGGAUCAUUAUUGGCCGGGUCUCUUGAGUAGAAAACAUUUUUUCUGCAGCCCGUGCAUUCGCAAUGAAUGCUCUAUUUGAGAUUCUCGGUCCAAAAUGUAAGAGCUUCAAUUCCAUAUUAACUUCCUUUCAGGCCACAAAAAUCUAGGACAGGCAAUAUUUCAUUUUGAACGUUAAAGGUUGUUGCUGUGUGUUUUGAAGCUUCAUUUAUGAAAUAUAGUUGGUGAAGGAUCAAAAUUGGCCGGGUCUCUUUGAGUAGAAAACAUUAUUUGUGCAGCCCUUGCAUUCACAAUGAAUGUUUUAUUUGAGAUUCUGGGUCCAAAAUGUAAGAGGUUCAAUUCCAUAUUAACUACCCUUUAGUCCUAGGAAAGGCAAUAUUUCAUUUUGAAAGUGGAAGUUUUUGUCGAUAUUUCAAAACAAACUUAUGUGCCUCGGUGCAUGAGAACGUGAAUCUUGAUUUUUUGUGGCAAAAUGAAACUGCUUGCAACCCUCAAGAUGUACAGCCUCAAAAAGAUGUGGCUUAAAAUCUCAAGCCAAAGUUUGGGUGCGUCGGUUUGAAAGUGAGAGUUUCUUUGAUCACGCACUUUCUUUUGGAGAGUUAGGCGACGUUUCACUUAGUGGUGGCAAUAUGCUCUCCCAAUCUAUUUUUAGCGCGGACAGAAAAAGUUUCGUGCUAGGUUAUGGGAAUCUUCAUUAUACGUGGAAGAGGUUGCCGUUCUUUAUUUUGAAGCCACAUCGAUAAUCUAGUUGCAGCGUUUUUCCUCUGUAGAGGUGCCCCGAUUCGAUAUUUUGAAACCGACACUGUAUUUACUGAUUCUUUUAAGAUAAGUGUGCCCCUCGGUAUUCAAGCAGAAGUUUCUCUGUUUUUUGGGGAAGAGUAAAAUUGCUCUGUUCUCUUGGUUGGUUGGAACAUAGAAAGCAAUAUGUUUGGAUCUUUUGAUUGCAAGUAAAUAUUUUUUCGGCACGUGGUUUUAAAGCUUUUUGGCUUUUGUUAAAGAAUAGUUUUUUUAAAAAAAUAUAUAUACAAAAGAAUAGUUUCCUGUUUUGGAAGUUUCCUGGUUUGGGAAGUAAAGGAGACUCAAUUUAUACUUUAAAACCUAAAAGCUGUUUUUAUGCAUUAUUUAUGGAUAAAUGUGUGACUUGAUGCACAAGAAAAUGAAUUUUGAUUUCUUGGGGCAAUGUAAAUCUGCUUGGGUCCCUCUCGCAGUUCCAAGUUUUAGAAAAACUUGCAUUGACAAAGAUUCGAGGAUAUUGUGACAGCACCACUUCUGACACGGUAACUUGCUUUCAAUAUUUAGUUUACGUAAGGCAUACGAGAUGUGUUUUGAAGGUUUUGAAACCCAUGGUCUGUUGCUGCGAAAAUAUAUCAUUCGGAGUCCCGUAUUCAGAAAGUAAAAGGCCUCGAUUAAUCUUUUCGAAAGCUAGCCUGUCCAUUUAUUUUUUGAAAACGAUUUUUUUUGUUGGUCCCCUGAGCAAAUGUUCCUCAAUUUUUUGGGGCAAUGUGAGAUUUUGCAAAAUGUCCCUUGGAUAAUUCUUUCUCUAGCAAAAUGUCCCUUGAUCUUUUAGUUGGAAGUAACUAUUCUUUGCUAUGUUGGUUUAAUUAAAGUUUCUCUUGAUCUUUUGCUUUCGAAAUAAAUCUGCAGGUGUCCCCACAGGGAAAUUGUAGCAGUUGGAAAAGUAAGUGGAGGUCAAGUAAUUUUUUUAGAAACUGAAGGCGUGUUCUAUCGAUUAUUUUGAAAGAUAAGUGUGCCUUGGUGCAAAAGAAAAUGACUUUGGAUUUGCUGCAGCAAAGCAAAACUUUUUUGAUGCCCUGGGUUUUCGGAACUCUAAAAGUUGUGGUUUGGACUCUUGAUUCAAAGUAAGUGUUUUUGAGAAUACGUUGGUUUAAAGGAAAAGUAACUCUGAUAACAAACACCCUUUCUCUUGGAGAGUUGGCAGCCUUUCUCUACGUAACUGGCAGUGUGCUUUCUCAAUCAUUUUAUUGCUACGGGCGUAAGACAUGAUUGCUCGGUUAAAGGAGAUAUUCAUUUUAUUUGAGAAAGGCCUUCGUUCUUGAUUUGGGAGCCAAUUUAAUGAACUUCAGUAAAAGUGGGCGAAUUCAUUGACUCGCAAAUGAGAGUGCUUUGGUUUAUUGUUUCAAAAUAAAUGUACUUUGACUCCUAGGCAACGGUUUUUUAAAUUUCUCGGGAAAAAGUAAAAUUCAUCCUCGCUCGGCCAGUUGGAGCUCAAAAAAAGCAUGCAUGUAUGCUGAAUUUGUCUUGGUUCUAAUCAUUGUUCUAAUGUAGGUCUUCAAAAAAUUGACCGAGAAAACUAUUUGAGAGAACCAAACCUUCGAAGUCUAUCGGACCCAAAGUGUAGUAGUCUAACCAAACUUCAGACCUUGUGGGAUCUUUUCUCUGUUUUCUUUUUUUUUUUUAAAGCAAUAUCUGUGGUUAAAAGAGAUUGGUACGUUUAACAUGCAAGGCAACUACGGAGCCUGGCGUAACCGCGUCAAUAUUAUGUUGCUGACUUUUCUUUGCUGUAGGUACUUAGUGGGAAACUUGCUUAAGCGGAAAGAACGGAGUUUGUUCCAGUGGCUAUCUACACGAACAACGUGUGCUACGCGGAAUGUGAGUAUUAUGUUACCCUGGAUUGUCUUGAAAAUAUUUCUCUCGAUUUUACUUUGUUUAAGAAACAUUUGUAGAUGUACAAAAUUAACGUUUAGAACAUGCGAGACGGUUAAAAAGCUACAGAUAACAGGGUAUGCUCAUUUUGCCAGCCUUUCCUUGGUGCAGCAAAUUGGAGCGAGGGUGAAGCCUUCCUAAGUGUAGAGCUACAGAUUGAAGGUUUUUGGACCCUACUUUAUUUAAUUUAAUAGUGGAACUUAUCCUUCUUGGAAAAUAGUAAAAGAGGCAAUCGGACCUGCUUUGUUGUUGUUUACUAGAGACGUGUUGCUGAAAGGAACAAAUGAGGUUUCUUCCCGUUGCUGGUUGUGCAGGUGACGAGUGCGGCUGCGUGGCUUCUGAGUGUGAUUUUACUCCGUGUACAUUAUCAGGGAAUGGAGUUUUUACUCUUACCGAGUUUUAUUUUAUAGGGUUGUCGUCCCCGUAUUUGUAUCUGCAAUUUGUGUAGUGUUGGAACGGAGGUUUAUGGCUUGAACUUCCAUUUUGGUGNNNNNNNNNNNNNNNNNNNNNNNNNNNNNNNNNNNNNNNNNNNNNNNNNNNNNNNNNNNNNNNNNNNNNNNNNNNNNNNNNNNNNNNNNNNNNNNNNNNNNNNNNNNNNNNNNNNNNNNNNNNNNNNNNNNNNNNNNNNNNNNNNNNNNNNNNNNNNNNNNNNNNNNNNNNNNNNNNNNNNNNNNNNNNNNNNNNNNNNNNNNNNNNNNNNNNNNNNNNNNNNNNNNNNNNNNNNNNNNNNNNNNNNNNNNNNNNNNNNNNNNNNNNNNNNNNNNNNNNNNNNNNNNNNNNNNNNNNNNNNNNNNNNNNNNNNNNNNNNNNNNNNNNNNNNNNNNNNNNNNNNNNNNNNNNNNNNNNNNNNNNNNNNNNNNNNNNNNNNNNNNNNNNNNNNNNNNNNNNNNNNNNNNNNNNNNNNNNNNNNNNNNNNNNNNNNNNNNNNNNNNNNNNNNNNNNNNNNNNNNNNNNNNNNNNNNNNNNNNNNNNNNNNNNNNNNNNNNNNNNNNNNNNNNNNNNNNNNNNNNNNNNNNNNNNNNNNNNNNNNNNNNNNNNNNNNNNNNNNNNNNNNNNNNNNNNNNNNNNNNNNNNNNNUUUAAUAAUCCAUUGGUCAAGGUCGGUAAGGGAAAUUCAACCGUAGAGAUGUGUGGAAAAGUGUAUCGCAUAGCUCCAGUUACUCUUACUCAACAGCAGCAAGCUUUCCAUCAGAAAAGGAGAUCUAGAGCAUACCAGUGGAAGGGACCAACUGUGUUCCUUAAGGACGCGGAUUCCAUACCUCCUGAUGUAGACCCCAAUACAACCAGAUGGAUUCCAGCCAAUCAUUUUUUUGCAACCACUGCAGCUGACAUUGAUUAGACCUGGCACAAAACAAUAUGUAUCAGGAGCAUGGUGUUCCAUUUCGUAUUCAGGCUGAGCAUGAGGCAGUAGAGAGGAAGCUUGAAGCGGCUUGAAUGGCAUGCAUGGUAACAGAGAGUAACUUUUCACUAUAAAAUGCCCUAAAUAACCAUAUAUAUUCUUCACUGAAGUUGCAUCCUUACCGAUCAACUUACAGUAAAUCCUGUAGAAGGUCGGAAGCCUAACCCAUAAUGAACUAAUAGUGAAAGCACCAGCGGGCUAGUCAGUUUGGGCAUAAACCUAAAAUUGAGUUUCUCUACUUGCAUUAUCUCUUAUCAAAAUAUUAAUCCUGUAGUUUCAGGUGCUAAAGAUACUUGCAAUUAUGGAAGUAGAAAUCAUACUGGUAAACCUAUGAUGCGUCCUUGACUUUCGAUUCUAAGGCCUUGUUUUACCAGGACGGAUUUGAACCUUUCUUUGUUUUUUUUUUUUUUUUGACAAUUUUGGAGAUGGGUUUGGAUGUUUGCUCAUAUGAAAAUAUGAAAUUGAUUUACCAGAUCAACACUAUAUAACAGAAUUUACGCUAUCCGAACUUUAUUCUGGGUUAUUCUAUUGCUUUUAAGUUAUUAAUGUCUGAAAUAUAUAUAUAUUAAAGCAAUUUCUUUAUGUGUGUCAGCUUUCUUAUUUAGGAGCGAAAGUUUAUUGGAGUUAUAUUUACUCAAAUUUUGUCCCAUUAAUAAUGAUAACUACUUAUGACACGUUACUCAGAAAAAAUUAUUUGUUGUUGUUUUUUGCAUGGAGAAAAAUUCAAUGACCCUUUCUUGUAUGACACCUUUAGCACCCAUUCCUAUUCAACAAUGCUCUAUGCAAAGGUAUUCUUGUAUGACACCUUUAGCACUCAUCGAUACCUGCGGUAAAGUACAAAGAAAAUAAAAGAAAAACGGCCCGCAAACUGUUUCAACCACUCAUUCUUGACAGCUGCAGCUUGUCUAGCGCCAACAACAAAGAACUCUGUAAUGACUUCGAGAGGCAUGCCUUUGGUUUCUGGGACUUUCAGGAACACAAAGAUCCAAGAGAUGAAGCACACAAUCGAAUAUAUGCUGAAGACGCUUGCUAAGCGUUUUGAAUUGAUCAUUACAGGCAGAGCGUAUGUCACAAUAAUGUUGCCGACCCAAAAAACCGUGGCACAGAUAGUAAUGCAAAUGCCACACCCUUGUAGGGAAGAUCACAGUGCAGAGGAUAUUUGGAAUUGGCCCAUAUGCCAUGACGAGGCCGCAGAUGUGUGAUACACAAGCUGAUGGCGUUGCUGCAUUUNNNNNNNNNNNNNNNNNNNNNNNNNNNNNNNNNNNNNNNNNNNNNNNNNNNNNNNNNNNNNNNNNNNNNNNNNNNNNNGGGGAAACCAAGGCUCUUGGUCCACCUGAUGGCCACAAGCCUCUGAGAUUUUUUUAGUGAUUUGAUCAAUUAAGAGCUAUUUUGCUUUUGCAUGCAGAUUUUCAAGUACGGGGAAUGCAGGAAACUCCAAGAACAAAAAUAGAUAAGCAUAAAAGAAAAAUAGGGGUUGGAGUUUGCUUCUUUUGCUAGUAAAUCAUGGUACCAAUAGAAAAGUCAGCUGUCAAUGCUAAAAUGUGUAAUCUUGCCACUAUUAUUCAUCACAAAUUCUAUUCGCAUGUCUAGAAAAUUUUUUUGGUCAGAUCGAUGCACAUUUCUAAUAAACAUGUCCUGGAUUUUGUUAUGUUUUCCUUUUUCUUAAGCUUUGUUGCAGCUGUCAUGGCAAUUAUUCGGGACCAUUAACUAGUAAUUCAGGUAACUUCAUUGCAACGGCGUGGCAAUUGAGGUGUUUGGUUCAUAUAUUAAAUUAUAUUUUUUUGUUAUUAAAGCUGGUCUAAUAUGACUAAAACACAUCUUGAAAUUUUUUAUUUAAAAUUUAUGAGAAUUUAAAAAUUAUUUUAGAAAAUAUUAUAUAUUAAUUUUCAGUUUUAUUUGUUAAUAAAAAAAAUAACAGUAAUAUAAUUAUAUUAUAUAUAUUUGAUGGCUUUUUUUAAUCCUAUUUAUGACUUUUUCUUUUUUACUAUAAAGGGGAUUGUUUAAAAGAGUGAAGCUCGGAAAAUGCAGCCGACCCCCCAUCUCUUAUCCUUAUUAUAUAACAGAAGCUACGUACUCAUGAAUCAUAAAAUUUUAUAUUGAGAAAGCGAGAAUUUUCUCGACAGAGGCUGAUGCCUUCGUCGCCUAAUUCUAGGUACGUAAAUUUUGUCAAUCGAAGCGGAAGCCUGCUAUGCUGUUAAUGCUGCUAUCUAUUCUCUUUUGUAUGGUUGUUGUUUUGUUUUGAUUCCUGUCAUAUGUUUUUUAGAUCAAUACCACUGUAUGUGAAUUUUUUUUUUUUCUUUUUCUUUGUCGGAGUUCUCAUCAUUUUGUUUUUUUUUUUUGUAUUAUUGAGAUGAAAUUGUUAGUUUGAAUCCUGAUAGCUCAAGAGUGCUGUUUAGUUUUUUGCGCACCGGCAGGCUUGUCACUUCUUCUGUUGAAGUUGGCAUAAUGGCUGAUCUAAUGUGGUAGGCUAUGUGGUUUUACACAAGUUAACAUGCAGCACCUGUAGAAGGUAAUCUCUUCACUGGAAAUGUUGAGAACUUAGUUAAUCCAUUUGUUGAUUUGCAUGACUUUGUUCAAUGAGUUUAGUCAAAGAUGCAAAUGGAAGGUUCUUAGAUGAUUUUUUUUUAUUUAGUUGUUGUGGUACAUUAGGUAAUGACUGUAUAGAUUUAUGUUAGAUACAUUUCUUCGACUAUAGUGAAACAGAGAAAACGAACGACCAUUAUUAGUAACUGCUUGGAAUUCAGUUGCUGAUCUAAUUAAUGUUAGCUAUUUACUGNN